CCUACGGGAGGCAGCAGUGGGGAAUUUUGGACAAUGGGCGCAAGCCUGAUCCAGCAAUGCCGCGUGCAGGAUGAAGGCCUUCGGGUUGUAAACUGCUUUUGUACGGAACGAAAAAGUCUGCCCUAAUACGGUGGGCCCAUGACGGUACCGUAAGAAUAAGCACCGGCUAACUACGUGCCAGCAGCCGCGGUAAUACGUAGGGUGCGAGCGUUAAUCGGAAUUACUGGGCGUAAAGCGUGCGCAGGCGGUUAUAUAAGACAGAUGUGAAAUCCCCGGGCUCAACCUGGGACCUGCAUUUGUGACUGUAUAGCUAGAGUACGGUAGAGGGGGAUGGAAUUCCGCGUGUAGCAGUGAAAUGCGUAGAUAUGCGGAGGAACACCGAUGGCGAAGGCAAUCCCCUGGACCUGUACUGACGCUCAUGCACGAAAGCGUGGGGAGCAAACAGGAUUAGAUACCCUGGUAGUCCACGCCCUAAACGAUGUCAACUGGUUGUUGGGUCUUCACUGACUCAGUAACGAAGCUAACGCGUGAAGUUGACCGCCUGGGGGAGGACGGCCGCGAGUAGUAACGUACGAAGAAGUAGACGGCGUGAGACGUAGACGACGGACGACGACGAGGGAGGAGG
rnacentral:rRNA from 1 species